rnacentral:rRNA from 1 species
GAUGAACGCUGGCGGCGUGCCUAAUACAUGCAAGUCGAACGAACAGACGCGGAGCUUGCUCGUCUGACGUGAGCCGCGGACGGGAGAAUAACGUGUGUAUAACCUACCUAUAAGACUGAGAUAAUUACGGGACACCGGAUCUUAUACCGGAGAAUAUAUUGCACCACAGUGUGCGAUAGUGAGAUUCGGUGUUUGUGUCACUAAUAGCGGCUUCCGCGCCGGAUUAGCUAGUUGUUAGGGUAACGGCUUACCAAGGCAACGAUGCGUAGCCGACCUGAGAGGGUGGUCGCCGACACUGGAAGGGAGACGGGGACAAGACGCCUGCGGGACGACGCAGUAGGGAAUCUUACGCAAUGGUGGAGAGCCUGACGGAGCAAGGCCGCGUGAGUGAUGAAGGUCCUCGGAUCGGAAAACUCUGUUAUGAGGGGAGAACAAAUGUGUCCGUAACCAUGGCCGUAUUGACGGUACCUGGUCAGAAAGCCCCGGCUAACUACGUG